GGAAUAUUGCACAAUGGGCGAAAGCCUGAUGCAGCGACGCCGCGUGGGCGAAGAAGGUUUUCGGAUCGUAAAGCCCUUUUCUAGGUGACGAGGCAGGACGGUAGCCUAGGAAUAAGUGUCGGCUAACUACGUGCCAGCAGCCGCGGUAAAACGUAGGACGCGAACGUUAUCCGGAGUUACUGGGCGUAAAGCGCGUGCAGGCGGUUGAGUAAGUUACCUAUGAAAGCUUCCGGCUAAACUGGGAGAGGAUAGGUGAUACUGCUGAACUAGAGUGAGAAAGAGGCAAGUAGAAUUCCAGGUGUAGUGGUGAAAUGCGUAGAUAUCUGGAGGAAUACCAGUGGCGAAGGCGGCUUGCUGGUUCUCAACUGACGCUGAGACGCGAAAGCGUGGGUAGCGAA
rnacentral:rRNA from 1 species